AAGCGCUUGCAACCAGACUCGAGCGCGGCGGUUCCCCCUGGCUUCUGCCUGGGCUACUCCGUCGCGACCGGGCCAACAUCAGUUCUCGGGGUCGGUUAAAGGUUCGAGGAAUGUACUCACUCUCUCGGGGGUGAACUUAUAGCCUCGUUCGUCAUGCGGCCACCGGGGACUGAGGAACGCGCUUCGGCGAGGAUGUUGGCGUAAUGGUUGUAAGCGA
rnacentral:rRNA from 1 species